AUUGAACGCUGGCGGCAUGCCUUACACAUGCAAGUCGAACGGCAGCACGGGAGCAAUCCUGGUGGCGAGUGGCGAACGGGUGAGUAAUAUAUCGGAACGUGCCCAGUCGUGGGGGAUAACGCAGCGAAAGCUGUGCUAAUACCGCAUACGAUCCAUGGAUGAAAGCGGGGGAUCGCAAGACCUCGAGCGAUUGGAGCGGCCGACAUCAGAUUAGCUGGUUGGUGAGGUAAAGGCUCACCAAGGCGACGAUCUGUAGCCGGUCUGAGAGGACGACCAGCCACACUGGAACUGAGACACGGUCCAGACUCCUACGGGAGGCAGCAGUGGGGAAUUUUGGACAAUGGGCGAAAGCCUGAUCCAGCAGUGCCGCGUGCAGGAUGAAGGCCUUCGGGUUGUAAACUGCUUUUGUACGGAACGAAACGGUGAGCUCUAAUACAGUUUGCUAAUGACGGUACCGUAAGAAUAAGCACCGGCUAACUACGUGCCAGCAGCCGCAGUAA
rnacentral:rRNA from 1 species